rnacentral:rRNA from 1 species
GAUGAACGCUGGCGGCGUGCCUAAUACAUGCAAGUCGAGCGAACAGACGAGGAGCUUGCUCCUUCGACGUUAGCGGCGGACGGGUGAGUAACACGUAGGUAACCUACCUAUAAGACUGGGAUAACUUCGGGAAACCGGAGCUAAUACCGGAUAAUAUUUCGAACCGCAUGGUUCGAUAGUGAAAGAUGGCUUUGCUAUCACUUAUAGAUGGACCUGCGCCGUAUUAGCUAGUUGGUAAGGUAACGGCUUACCAAGGCAACGAUACGUAGCCGACCUGAGAGGGUGAUCGGCCACACUGGAACUGAGACACGGUACAGACUCCUACGGGAGGCAGCAGUAGGGAAUCUUCCGCAAUGGGCGAAAGCCUGACGGAGCAACGCCGCGUGAGUGAUGAAGGUCUUCGGAUCGUAAAACUCUGUUAUGAGGGAAGAACAAACGUGUAAGUAACUGUGCACGUCUUGACGGUACCUAAUCAGAAAGCCACGGCUAACUACGUG